CGCCCUUGAGUUUGAUCAUGGCUCAGAUUGAACGCUGGCGGCAUGCCUUACACCUGCAAGUCGAACGCGAAAGCGGGGCAACCCGCAAGUAGACUUUAAAACGGGUGAGUAAUACAUCGGAACGUAUCCAGUAGCGGGGGAUAACCUGUCGAAAGAUAGGCUAAUACCGCAUACGAUCUACGGAUGAAAGCGGGGGACCGCAAGGCCUCGCACUAUUGGAGCGGCCGAUGUCGGAUUAGCUAGUUGGUGAGGUAAAGGCUUACCAAGGCGACGAUCCGUAGCUGGUCUGAGAGGACGAUCAGCCACACUGGAACUGUUUUACGGUCCAGACUCCUACGGGAGGCAGCAGUGGGGAAUUUUGGACAAUGGGCGCAAGCCUGAUCCAGCCAUGUUUUUUUUUUGAAGAAGGCCNNCGGGCCGCAAAGCUUUUUCGGCGGGGACGAAACCCCUCGUGUGAAUACCACGGACUAAUGACGGUACCCGCAUAAGAAGCACUGGUUAACUACGUGCCAGCAUUUGCGGUA
rnacentral:rRNA from 1 species